GAUGAACGCUGGCGGCGUGCCUAAUACAUGCAAGUCGAGCGAACAGACGAGGAGCUUGCUUCUCUGAUGUUAGCGGCGGACGGGUGAGUAACACGUGGAUAACCUACCUAUAAGACUGGGAUAACUUCGGGAAACCGGAGCUAAUACCGGAUAAUAUAUUGAACCGCAUGGUUCAAUAGUGAAAGACGGUCUUGCUGUCACUUAUAGAUGGAUCCGCGCUGCAUUAGCUAGUUGGUAAGGUAACGGCUUACCAAGGCAACGAUGCGUAGCCGACCUGAGAGGGUGAUCGGCCACACUGGAACUGAGACACGGUCCAGACUCCUACGGGAGGCAGCAGUAGGGAAUCUUCCGCAAUGGGCGAAAGCCUGACGGAGCAACGCCGCGUGAGUGAUGAAGGUCUUCGGAUCGUAAAACUCUGUUAUUAGGGAAGAACAAAUGUGUAAGUAACUAUGCACAUCUUGACGGUACCUAAUCAGAAAGCCACGGCUAACUACGUG
rnacentral:rRNA from 1 species